UGAGGAAUAUUGGGCAAUGCCCGCAAGGGUGACCCAGCAACGCCGCGUGGAGGAUGAAUGUCGUAAGAUUGUAAACUCCUGUUAGAGGGGAAGAAUAGUACCGGUUGGACCGGUAUAUGACUGUACCCUCAGAGAAAGCCCCGGCUAACUACGUGCCAGCAGCCGCGGUAAUACGUAGGGGGCAAGCGUUGUCCGGAUUUACUGGGUGUAAAGGGCGCGCAGGCGGGAUAAAAAGUCAGUGGUGAAAUCCUACAGCUUGACUGUAGAACUGCCUUUGAUACUUUUAUUCUUGAGUUCGGGAGAGAGAGACGGAAUUCCAGGUGUAGUGGUGAAAUACGUAGAUAUCUGGAAGAACACCAGUGGCGAAGGCGGUCUCUUGGUCCGACACUGACGCUGAGGCGCGAAAGCGUGGGGAGCAAACA
rnacentral:rRNA from 1 species